AUUAUAAGCUGCAACUCGCUUAUAUGAAGUUGGAAUCACUAGUAAUCGCAAAUCAGCAUGUUGCGGUGAAUACGUAUCUUGGCCUUGUACACACCGCCCGUCACAUGCAAAGAGUUAGUCUUGCUUGAAAAUUUCACUAAUAUUUAAUUUUUAAAAUUAUUAGAAGGAAGUAAAUUGAUUGAGAGAUUAAUAAUUUGGAUGAAGUCGUAACAAG
rnacentral:rRNA from 1 species